CAUUAGCUAGUUGGUAAGGUAACGGCUUACCAAGGCGAUGAUGCAUAGCCGAGUUGAGAGACUGAUCGGCCACAAUGGAACUGAGACACGGUCCAUACUCCUACGGGAGGCAGCAGUAGGGAAUCUUCCACAAUGGGCGCAAGCCUGAUGGAGCAACACCGCGUGAGUGAAGAAGGGUUUCGGCUCGUAAAGCUCUGUUGUUGGAGAAGAACGUGCGUGAGAGUAACUGUUCACGCAGUGACGGUAUCCAACCAGAAAGUCACGGCUAACUACGUGCCAGCAGCCGCGGUAAUACGUAGGUGGCAAGCGUUAUCCGGAUUUAUUGGGCGUAAAGCGAGCGCAGGCGGUUGCUUAGGUCUGAUGUGAAAGCCUUCGGCUUAACCGAAGAAGUGCAUCGGAAACCGGGCGACUUGAGUGCAGAAGAGGACAGUGGAACUCCAUGUGUAGCGGUGGAAUGCGUAGAUAUAUGGAAGAACACCAGUGGCGAAGGCGGCUGUCUGGUCUGCAACUGACGCUGAGGCUCGAAAGCAUGGGUAGCGAACAGGAUUAGAUACCCUGGUAGUCCAUGCCGUAAACGAUGAGUGCUAGGUGUUGGAGGGUUUCCGCCCUUCAGUGCCGGAGCUAACGCAUUAAGCACUCCGCCUGGGGAGUACGACCGCAAGGUUGAAACUCAAAGGAAUUGACGGGGGCCCGCACAAGCGGUGGAGCAUGUGGUUUAAUUCGAAGCUACGCGAAGAACCUUACCAGGUCUUGACAUCUUGCGCUAACCUUAGAGAUAAGGCGUUCCCUUCGGGGACGCAAUGACAGGUGGUGCAUGGUCGUCGUCAGCUCGUGUCGUGAGAUGUUGGGUUAAGUCCCGCAACGAGCGCAACCCUUGUUACUAGUUGCCAGCAUUAAGUUGGGCACUCUAGUGAGACUGCCGGUGACAAACCGGAGGAAGGUGGGGACGACGUCAGAUCAUCAUGCCCCUUAUGACCUGGGCUACACACGUGCUACAAUGGACGGUACAACGAGUCGCAAACUCGCGAGAGUAAGCUAAUCUCUUAAAGCCGUUCUCAGUUCGGACUGUAGGCUGCAACUCGCCUACACGAAGUCGGAAUCGCUAGUAAUCGCGGAUCAGCAUGCCGCGGUGAAUACGUUCCCGGGCCUUGUACACACCGCCCGUCACACCAUGGGAGUUUGUAACGCCCAAAGUCGGUGGCCUAACCUUUAUGGAGGGAGCCGCCUAAGGCGGGACAGAUGACUGGGGUGAAGUCGUAACAAGGUAGCCGUAGGAGAACCUGCGGCUGGAUCACCUCCUUUCUAAGGAA
rnacentral:rRNA from 2 species